GUCCGUGCCCUGGGAUCCCAGGAUAUCAAGGUCACCCUGUGUCCCAACACUGUUGGGGACUACAAUCUGGAGCUGGUGCUGGACGUGGAAGACGUUGGCAGGAGGGUGUUUGCACUGCCCCUCACAGCCAGGUGCAUCGUUCCUACACUGCGAGUGCUCAACCCUGUCGUGGAACUGGGGCACUGCUGCUUGAAGGUGCUCUAUGAUGAGAAGGUGACCCUGGUGAAUGACAGUGACUUCCCUGGCUGCUACUGUCUUCUCCCUCAGGAACACCAGGAGGAGGCUGCUGCGUGGUACUCCAGCCUUGCACCCUCUGGGAUUAUCGAGGCUCACAGCUCGGUGCAGAUCCCAAUUACACUCCAGGCCCAGUUGCUGGGACAGUGCAGCAUCACUGCCAAGCUGGCCGUGUUUGGGA